rnacentral:lncRNA from 1 species
AUGAGAUACCGUCCGGUAAUUUCACCGUCAAAAGGUAUAUUGUUUGAGAAGAGCAGGCUAAAUCUUAAUUUUCUAACUGGUUUCAGAGCUCUUCAGGAUGCAGAGAAUAUGGUGAAACUUUUCCCUCAGUAUCCCAAAGCCUACUACAGAAAUGCAGAAGCGCUUGCAGCAGUCAAGAGGUUUACAGAAGCUGAACAUAGUCUAAAUUACCUUUUGAAACUAGAUCCCAACUGUUCAGAAGCCCAGAGAUUAUUAAGUCAAGUUCAGAGUCAAAAUAAAGUAAGGAGGGUCUCCAAUCUUGCUGCCAUGGAUUCCAGUCGAGCUGUAAAAGGGUCGCAAAAGGGCAGUGACCUAUACUACUCUGAUGAAGAUUUGAAUAAGAUGUUAGAACGGGCAGUUGCACUAGAAUCGCAAAACAAACCAUCAAAAAAGAAGAAAAAAAAGGUAGGUGCCUGUCAUAAUCAAUUCAUCCAAAAUUCAUCACCAAAUGAUCCUGUGAGGGAGAGGGGGGUUGAUCAGUGUUACAAAUUUUUUUUAGGGGGAAGUAGACCUAUGUCAUGA